UACGUGGGGGGCUGGCGUUGUCCGGAAUCAUUGGGCGUAAAGAGCGCGUAGGCGGCUGGAUUAGUCCGGUGUGAAAUCCACAGGCUUAACCUGUGAAUGCCGCUGGAAACUGUCUGGCUAGAGUCCGGAAGGGGCGAGUGGAAUUCCUGGUGUAGCGGUGAAAUGCGCAGAUAUCAGGAGGAACACCAAUGGCGAAGGCAGCUCGCUGGGACGGUACUGACGCUGAGGCGCGAAAGCGUGGGGAGCGAACAGG
rnacentral:rRNA from 1 species